GACGAACGCUGGCGGCGUGCCUAAUACAUGCAAGUCGAACGCACAGUUUAUACCGUAGCUUGCUACACCAUAGACUGUGAGUUGCGAACGGGUGAGUAACGCGUAGGUAACCUGCCUGGUAGCGGGGGAUAACUAUUGGAAACGAUAGCUAAUACCGCAUAAUAUUAAUUAUUGCAUGAUAAUUAAUUGAAAGGUGCAAUUGCACCACUACCAGAUGGACCUGCGUUGUAUUAGCUAGUAGGGGAGGUAACGGCUCACCUAGGCGACGAUACAUAGCCGACCUGAGAGGGUGAUCGGCCACACUGGGACUGAGACACGGCCCAGACUCCUACGGGAGGCAGCAGUAGGGAAUCUUCGGCAAUGGACGAAAGUCUGACCGAGCAACGCCGCGUGAGUGAAGAAGGUUUUCGGAUCGUAAAGCUCUGUUGUAAGAGAAGAACGGGUGUGAGAGUGGAAAGUUCACACUGUGACGGUAUCUUACCAGAAAGGGGCGGCUAACUACGUG
rnacentral:rRNA from 1 species